GACGAACGCUGGCGGCGUGCCUAAUACAUGCAAGUAGAACGCUGAAGAGAGGAGCUUGCUCUUCUUGGAUGAGUUGCGAACGGGUGAGUAACGCGUAGGUAACCUGCCUUGUAGCGGGGGAUAACUAUUGGAAACGAUAGCUAAUACCGCGUAACAAUGGGUGACUCAUGUCAUUUAUUUGAAAGGGGCAAAUGCUCCACUACAAGAUGGACCUGCGUUGUAUUAGCUAGUAGGUGAGGUAACGGCUCACCUAGGCGACGAUACAUAGCCGACCUGAGAGGGUGAUCGGCCACACUGGGACUGAGACACGGCCCAGACUCCUACGGGAGGCAGCAGUAGGGAAUCUUCGGCAAUGGGGGCAACCCUGACCGAGCAACGCCGCGUGAGUGAAGAAGGUUUUCGGAUCGUAAAGCUCUGUUGUAAGUCAAGAACGAGUGUGAGAGUGGAAAGUUCACACUGUGACGGUAGCUUACCAGAAAGGGACGGCUAACUACGUGCCAGCAGCCGCGGUAAUACGUAGGUCCCGAGCGUUGUCCGGAUUUAUUGGGCGUAAAGCGAGCGCAGGCGGUUUGAUAAGUCUGAAGUUAAAGGCUGUGGCUCAACCAUAGUUCGCUUUGGAAACUGUCAAACUUGAGUGCAGAAGGGGAGAGUGGAAUUCCAUGUGUAGCGGUGAAAUGCGUAGAUAUAUGGAGGAACACCGGUGGCGAAAGCGGCUCUCUGGUCUGUAACUGACGCUGAGGCUCGAAAGCGUGGGGAGCGAACAGGAUUAGAUACCCUGGUAGUCCACGCCGUAAACGAUGAGUGCUAGGUGUUGGAUCCUUUCCGGGAUUCAGUGCCGCAGCUAACGCAUUAAGCACUCCGCCUGGGGAGUACGACCGCAAGGUUGAAACUCAAAGGAAUUGACGGGGGCCCGCACAAGCGGUGGAGCAUGUGGUUUAAUUCGAAGCAACGCGAAGAACCUUACCAGGUCUUGACAUCCCGAUGCUAUUUCUAGAGAUAGAAAGUUACUUCGGUACAUCGGUGACAGGUGGUGCAUGGUUGUCGUCAGCUCGUGUCGUGAGAUGUUGGGUUAAGUCCCGCAACGAGCGCAACCCCUAUUGUUAGUUGCCAUCAUUCAGUUGGGCACUCUAGCGAGACUGCCGGUAAUAAACCGGAGGAAGGUGGGGAUGACGCCAAAUCAUCAUGCCCCUUAUGACCUGGGCUACACACGUGCUACAAUGGUUGGUACAACGAGUUGCGAGUCGGUGACGGCAAGCUAAUCUCUUAAAGCCAAUCUCAGUUCGGAUUGUAGGCUGCAACUCGCCUACAUGAAGUCGGAAUCGCUAGUAAUCGCGGAUCAGCACGCCGCGGUGAAUACGUUCCCGGGCCU
rnacentral:rRNA from 1 species